rnacentral:rRNA from 1 species
CAAUAGCGUAUAUUUAAGUUGUUGCAGUUAAAAAGCUCGUAGUCGGAUUUUGGCUGAGAACGAUCGGUCCGCCGUUAGGUGUGCACUGAUUGGUCUCAGCUUCCUGGUGAGGAGGUGUGCUUCACGGCCACUUAGUCACCGUGGUUACUUUGAAAAAAUUAGAGUGUUCAAAGCGGGCUUACGCUUGAAUAUAUUAGCAUGGAAUAACACCAUAGGACUCCUGUCCUAUUUCGUUGGUCACGGGACGGGAGUAAUGAUUAAGAGGAACAGUUGGGGGCAUUCGUAUUUCAUUGUCAGAGGUGAAAUUCUUGGAUUUAUGGAAGACGAACUUCUGCGAAAGCAUUUGCCAAGGAUGUUUUCAUUGA